UACGGAGGGUGCGAGCGUUGUUCGGAAUCAUUGGGCGUAAAGGGCGUGUAGGUGGUCUGUUAAGUCAUGUGUGAAAGCCCUCAGCUUAACUGGGGAAGUGCGCAUGAAACUGACAGGCUAGAGUACCGAAGAGGAAGGUGGAAUUCCCGGUGUAGCGGUGAAAUGCGUAGAUAUCGUAAGGAACACCGGUGGCGAAGGCGGGUCUCUGGGCCGAUACUGACGCUGAGGAGCGAAAGCGUGGGGAGCGAACAGG
rnacentral:rRNA from 1 species